AAGCCUCCCGGUUCACCUUCGGCUUCUCUAUUCCUCCCCUGCGCCUCGCGAUCUCAGACGCCACGCGACCGAGACCGGCGAUCGCUUCUUCCCUCGGUGUCGCCGGCGAGGAGCGGAUCUUGGAGCAUCGAAGGGAAGAAAGAUCCUUGAUCGGGGGAUUUCGCCGGCUGUUGGGUGGGAAUCAAGGGAAACGACGUUGGAUCUGGGCAUCGGCGACCGGCUGUGUGAGGUAACGCCCAUUGUUUCCUUCCGAUUUUCCCUUGUUUUGUUCGUCGGCAAGAACAAGUCGAGCCCUAACUUCGAUCUCGGAGAGAUUGGUGUCUUGUUUCUGGCCACCACAGCUGGACUAGAUCAACUCCUCCACCGGAUCUGUGAUCGUACUCUAGCCAAGAUCCUGAGAGAAGCAGAGCUUGUGUUGUGAUUCCGGCCACUACAGCUCUGGUGGGGAUUGCUCUUCUUCCUCAGAUCUGUGGUUUGCUCCGGCGAUCAAGAAGAGGUGUUGGAAGCUUCUUUUAUGUGCGGUUCCAGUGGAGCUAAUUACGGUGGAUUGUGUGGAGCAACAUUGGUUAACAGAGGACCUUGAUUGACGACGAGUUGCGCGACGUGGUGGUUCUGUUGAUUUCGGGAUAUAUCGAGGCGGGUAUUUCUUCCUAAAUUUCUAUUUAGCUCCUUGAACUUUAAAGCAUGGUUAUAUGUUUUUGGAUAUUUAGGUUGCAUUCCUUAAAUCUUAUUAUUUGUUGCUUUCCUGCUUGUCUCUUUUGCUUGAUCUUUGAUAUGAUCUGGGUUGCUUCGUUACAGUCUCUAUUCUUGUUAUUUGUGACUCUAUUGUUUAUACACAUGUAGAGUGUUGUAGGGAGGACUGUAUUGGAUAUUUGUGGGCUAUACCUGUCUAGGUUGUGAUUGGUAUGGGUUAUAGGUCCUACAGGUUUACCAUUCCAUUUGCAUAGUGGUAUGUGUAGUUACGUCUGUUGUGGUUAUUGGAGGCGUUUAUGAGGGGGAAGGUUGUUGCAUGGAUGAUGAUUAUAUAUAUGUAUAUCAUGCUCAUCAUUCAUUGCAUCUGAUGACCGUUGUCUCCCUUGUGGUUGAGAAGGUCAUCAGUUGGUUUGGUUUAGCGC